CAGUAGCCGCGGUAAUACGUAGGUCCCGAGCGUUGUCCGGAUUUAUUGGGCGUAAAGGGAGCGCAGGCGGUUUAGUAAGUCUGAAGUUAAAGGCAUUGGCUCAACCAAUGUAUGCUUUGGAAACUGUUAGACUUGAGUGCAGGAGGGGAGAGUGGAAUUCCAUGUGUAGCGGUGAAAUGCGUAGAUAUAUGGAGGAACACCGGUGGCGAAAGCGGCUCUCUGGUCUGUCACUGACGCUGAGGCUCGAAAGCGUGGGUAGCGAACAGGAUUAGAGACCCCAGUAGUCCCUGUCUCUUAUACA
rnacentral:rRNA from 1 species